rnacentral:rRNA from 1 species
CCAGACUCCUACGGGAGGCAGCAGUGAGGAAUAUUGGUCAAUGGGCGAGAGCCUGAACCAGCCAAGUCGCGUGAGGGAGUACUGCCCUAUGGGUUGUAAACCUCUUUUGUCGGGGAGCAAAAGCCGGACGUGUCCGGCUGCGAGAGUACCCGAAGAAAAAGCAUCGGCUAACUACGUGCCAGCAGCCGCGGUAAUACGUAGGGGGCGAGCGUUAUCCGGAUUCACUGGGUGUAAAGGGAGCGUAGACGGCCGUGCAAGCCAGGAGUGAAAGCCCGGGGCCCAACCCCGGGACUGCUCUUGGAACUGUGCGGCUGGAGUGCGGGAGGGGCAGGCGGAAUUCCUGGUGUAGCGGUGAAAUGCGUAGAUAUCAGGAGGAACACCGGCGGCGAAGGCGGCCUGCUGGACCGCGACUGACGUUGAGGCUCGAAAGCGUGGGGAGCGAACAGGAUUAGAUACCCGAGUA